rnacentral:rRNA from 1 species
AUUGAACGCUGGCGGCAGGCCUAACACAUGCAAGUCGAACGGUAACAGGAAGAAGCUUGCUUCUUUGCUGACGAGUGGCGGUCGGGUGAGUAAUGUCUGGGAAACUGCCUGAUGGAGGGGGAUAACUACUGGAAACGGUAGCUAAUACCGCAUAACGUCGCAAGACCAAAGAGGGGGACCUUCGGGCCUCUUGCCAUCGGAUGUGCCCAGAUGGGAUUAGCUAGUAGGUGGGGUAACGGCUCACCUAGGCGACGAUCCCUAGCUGGUCUGAGAGGAUGACCAGCCACACUGGAACUGAGACACGGUCCAGACUCCUACGGGAGGCAGCAGUGGGGAAUAUUGCACAAUGGGCGCAAGCCUGAUGCAGCCAUGCCGCGUGUAUGAAGAAGGCCUUCGGGUUGUAAAGUACUUUCAGCGGGGAGGAAGGGAGUAAAGUUAAUACCUUUGCUCAUUGACGUUACCCGCAGAAGAAGCACCGGCUAACUCCGUG